ensembl:lncRNA
GUGACUGAACUGGUAUGAAUGCGCGCGGCGCGGAAGGGAAACCGGUGGCGCGUGAACCUCGGGCAACGGGGGCGUCGUCUCGGCGCUUCCACGGGGGCGCAUAAUCAAAGCGGUCAGCUUUUCAACUUUGCGGGGGAGUUUUGGAGCCAAUCCCAGCUGGCAUCAGGCAAGAGACGGGGUAAAUCCUGGAACGGUCAUCACUCAAUUGCACUGCGGACUUAGAACCAUCCUGCUGUCUUGGAGCGUGGGAGGGAACCCACGCAGGCUCGGGGGAGAACACGCAGACCCCACACAGCCGCUGGGCGGGUUCGAGCCCAGAACCUUUUGCUUUGCCAAAGUUGUUCAAGUACGUGGAGCAAGACCAGAGGAACCUGCACCAGUAACUGAAGACCUCAGUAACCUUAUGGAGGAAAAAGAAGCAGACGAUGAGAAAGUCCUUACAGCUGUUCCGGGUCAAGCAGCGCCGUCUCCUGAUGAGGAAAACAUGUUUAUUGCCAAAGAACCAGAACCAAUUUCCA